GCUGGCGCACCAAGAAAGCAGAAUCUCAUGAAGCAAGAUUGCUGAUAGCAAUUCUAGAACAACGAAUUGAAGAGAGCAGCCCUUAGUGAAAAUAUUACAGGGAUGCCUGUACUAUCCAGUUUGU
rnacentral:snoRNA from 1 species